rnacentral:rRNA from 1 species
UCUUUGAACGCAAGUUGCGCCCGAGGCUUGUCCGAGGGCAUUUCCGCUAGAGCGUCACC